UACGGGAGGUGCAAGCGUUGUUCGGAGUGACUGGGCGUAAAGCGCACGUAGGUGGGCUUGUAAGUCGAAUGUGAAAUCCCCGGGCUCAACCCGGGAACUGCGUCCGAUACUGGCAGGCUUGAAUUCGGGAGAGGGAUGCGGAAUUCCAGGUGUAGCGGUGAAAUGCGUAGAUAUCUGGAGGAACACCGGUGGCGAAGGCGGCAUCCUGGACCGAGAUUGACGCUGAGGCGCGAAAGCCAGGGGAGCAAACGGG
rnacentral:rRNA from 1 species